CUUCCUUUUCCCCCACAUAUGACGGCCUAGGUGACCCACAAGGAGGAAACCCCAAACCUUAUCAGAGAUCAUCUCGUUCAUCUGUGGUUUCCCUAACCCUAAAGUUGGCAUUAUUAGGCACCAUCUUUCCUUUAUUGAAAGUGAUUGAAUUGGAAUCCAAAAUCAAGAUCUUGUAAAAUAUAAACAACAUUAUCACACACCCGAUAUACUUAAAGGAAAAAAGAAAGCGACUUUCAGGACAUAUUUUGAACCCGGAAGAAAACCAGACAUGAAGUUCUUGUUCCAGUUUCCUUGCUGUUCUUGUUUCUGCUUCAUGAAGCCUAAGCAGGGGAAACCAAAAGCGAAGGAUGCUCCUAAGGUGGAGAAAAACAAGGAAGUGAAAGCUGAUAAGGCAGAGUGAAUUUUCUUCUUCUUCUUCUCUGCUGCUGCUCAAGUAAGUUGUAUGUAAUAACUUUUGUUUAUCUAAGUUUGCAUGAGAAUGUUACCUUCUCAUUGUUAUAGUAUUAUUAUUGCAUUGUACUGAUAAUAAUAAAAAUGAUAUUUUAAUUAUGUUUUCAUCUUUGUAUUUUGGUUCGAUUCAUGUUCUGCAAAUUUUGGUUGUCGAUCUAUACCGUAUCAUUGAUCGAUGACUCUGUUUCGUUCUGAUUUUAUCGGAUGUCCUUGAAAGAACGGCCAGAUCUGCUGGUAUACCUACAAUUUUCUGUGAAUUCAUGGGGUCAGUUUUCAUGUGGGAUCUCGAUUGGUAUUUUCCUGAGAAUUUAUUUGGCAGACAAUUUCUGGCAUUCAAGAAUUCAAACAUUCAUAAGGUUUGAGUUUGUCGAUACAACAUUGUGGUUUAUCGUGAGCAGGGGAGCAAUCUAGUUUCACAAGCUUGAGCUUUACUCAACAUAUGAGAUAGCAUGUUUGAUCCAGCUUGAUUAUAUGGUAAAACCAAAGUUUUGAUUUUGUGAUUGAGGCACUAAAUCCCAUCAGUAAGGUCAAGAGUUCAAAUCUCAAAAAACUUUUAUAAAUGAAACAAAUUGGAUUUAAAGGAAUAUACUCUGCAGUAUCUAUUUGGAUUGAUUAAUAGACCAUUUAUUAAUAGACCAUUUAGUUUACUUGAUAUCUUGAGUUACUUGAAAAGGAAAACGUGUAAACUUUUAAAUAUCUAUUACCUCAACGAAAUAGGAACAUUGCCUGGACAGCCGAGUGUUAAUUUCAGACAAUUUUCUGGGUAUAUUGAUGUUGAUCCAAAUGCCGGCAGAAGUCUUUUCUAUUAUUUUGUUGAAGCCGAAAAGGAUCCAAUGAAUCUACCCCUCACAAUUUGGCUAACGGGAGGACCAGGUUGCGGUUCAGUCGGAGAUAGCUUUGUGUUAUGAACGGGAAGAAAAAGGGGGAAUUGCUGGGGAUUUCAAUUGAGGAGCUAGGGAUUUCAGUUGAGGAGUUAGGGAUUGAUCGUGGUAAAUUUGGGGGAAAAGAAGUCUUACCUGGAGCAGGAGGCCUGAGUUGUUAUUUGGAGCAGAACCGUGCAGUGAUACCCAACAGAGGAUGGGCUGGAACUGAAGAAGAAUGGUCUAACAAGAAGUGAUCCACCAAUUCAAAUCUGAUGAGGAGGAGUCCAACAUGUGAGCAGCAUGUGAAACAAUCAGUUAUGCCAGCUGUACAGAAUAAGUUUGUUAGAUUUUUGUACUGAAGAAUAUAAGGAGAAAAUGUAAUAGAAAAUCUAUUCUGGCAAUUUUAAUGAAAAGUUUCUUUUCUCUUCAA